GAAUAUUGCUCAAUGGGGGAAACCCUGAAGCAGCAACGCCGCGUGAGGGAUGAAGGCGCUUUGCGUUGUAAACCUCUGUAGUUGGAGACAAAACUCUCUCUACUGAGAGAUUGAUGGUAUCCAAAAAGUAAGGAUCGGCUCACUACGUGCCAGCAGCCGCGGUAAUACGUAGGAUCCUAGCGUUGUCCGGAUUUACUGGGUGUAAAGGGUGCGCAGGCGGGCUUAUAAGUCAGUGGUGAAAUCUCGGCGCUUAACGCCGAAACUGCCUUUGAUACUAUAAGUCUUGAGUUUGGUAGAGAUCCGUGGAAUUCCGAGUGUAGCAGUGAAAUGUGUAGAUAUUCGGAAGAACACCAGCGGCGAAGGCAGCGGAUUGGGCCAAUACUGACGCUCAGGCACGAAAGCAUGGGGAUCAAACAGG
rnacentral:rRNA from 1 species